rnacentral:rRNA from 1 species
GAGUUUGAUCAUGGCUCAGAUUGAACGCUGGCGGCAUGCCUUACACAUGCAAGUCGAACGGCAGCACGGGAGCUUGCUCCUGGUGGCGAGUGGCGAACGGGUGAGUAAUGCAUCGGAACGUAUCCUGGAGUGGGGGAUAACGUAGCGAAAGUUACGCUAAUACCGCAUAUUCUGUGAGCAGGAAAGCGGGGGGACCUUCGGGCCUCGCGCUCUUGGAGCGGCCGAUGUCGGAUUAGCUAGUUGGUGAGGUAAAGGCUCACCAAGGCGACGAUCCGUAGCAGGUCUGAGAGGAUGAUCUGCCACACUGGAACUGAGACACGGUCCAGACUCCUACGGGAGGCAGCAGUGGGGAAUUUUGGACAAUGGGGGCAACCCUGAUCCAGCCAUGCCGCGUGAGUGAAGAAGGCCUCGGUUGGUAAGUACGU